CCUACGGGAGGCAGCAGUGAGGAAUAUUGGUCAAUGGACGAGAGUCUGAACCAGCCAAGUAGCGUGAAGGAUGACAGCCCUAUGGGUUGUAAACUUCUUUUAUAAAGGAAUAAAACGAGGCACGUGUGCGUUUUUGCAUGUACUUUAUGAAUAAGGAUCGGCUAAAUCCGUGCCAGCAGCCGCGGUAAUACGGAGGAUCCGAGCGUUAUCCGGGUUUAUUGGGUUUAAAGGGAGCGUAGAUGGGUUGUUAAGUCAGUUGUGAAAGUUUUCGGCUCAACCGUAAAAUUGCAAUUGAUACUGGCAGUCUUGAGUACAGGUGAGGUAGGCGGAAUUCGUGGUGUAGCGGUGAAAUGCUUAGAUAUCACGAAGAACCCCGAUUGCGAAGGCAGCUUACUAAACUGUGACUGACAUUGAUGCUCGAAAGUGUGGGUAUCAAACAGGAUUAGAUACCCGGGUAGUC
rnacentral:rRNA from 1 species